UUCAGAUUGAUAGAUCCUGCAGACAUGACCAUGGCUUGUGGACAGAAUUAAUGAGAUGCUAUAAUUGCCGACACUGUUUACCUGCUAGUCUGGGAGUAUAUUUCAAAGGCAUGUGAAUUAGCCAUCGCCAGCUUUAUAAUUAGCGUGUGACAACUUUAAUUCCAAUGGCAUGUUUAAUCAACAGCAACAGAUGGAAGUGUGCCUGGUGGUUGUUCGGGUUGUACCUUCACCAAGGCUCCUUGUUGGAAUAAGAAGGAAAUGCAAGGCAUUCUUAGUUGGUUCCUAUUCCACAAACAUCAAGAAGAAAGAGAUAUAGUCUAAUGAGCAAGCAAACAAACAAAAAAAAAAACUU